GGAAGGGCAGCGUGGAGGUGAAGCCGUGCGAGAAGACCUCGGACAGGGUGUGCGCCUGCCAGGCGGGAUUCCAGCCUGCCGGGGGCAUUCCUGUGGGAAGGGAGUGCUCCCGAUGUCCUGAAGGGACUUUCUCCAGAGGAGGGAACGAGAACUGCCGGCCUUGGACCAACUGCAGCAGUUUUGGGAAGAGCACGCUCCGGGCUGGCACGGGCACACAGGAUGCCCAGUGCAGCAGCAGCCCUGGCAGUGCCAGCAGCCCUGGCCCACAUCCCUCUCCCACGGAAUUCCCGGAAAACAGGGACCCCUUUCCCACGGAAUUCCCCGAGAACAGCUCCAGAGCAUCCAGCCCCAGGGAGAUCCCUGAGGUUUGUCGGGAUCCCGGCGCUGCCACGGAGCCUGGAUGGGGUAAGGACGGGCAGGGAAUUCAGCUGGAGCUGCUUUCCUGGGAAGGGAAUUCCCACUUUCUCUGAAACCCUUUCUGUAUUUCACAGAACAUUCCAGGAUCCCACAUUUCCAUCUGAGUCUGCUUUCCUGGGAAGGGAAUUCCCACUUUCUCUGAAACCCUUUCUGUAUUUCACAGAACAUUCCAGGAUCCCACAUUUCCAUCUGAGUCUGCUUUCCUGGGAAGGGAAUUCCCAUUUUCUAGAAGUUUUUUCUGUGUUUCACAGAACAUUCCAGGAUCCCACAAUCCCAGCUGGAAUUGCUUUCCUGGGGAGGGAAUUCCCACUUUCUCUGAAUUCUUUUCUGUAUUUCACCCAGCAUUCCAGGAUCCCACAUUUCCAGCUGCUUGGUUUCCAUGUCAAGCUGCUUUCCUGGGAAGUGAAAUCCCAAUUUCCUCAGAAGCCUUGUCUGUAUUUUACACAACUUCCCAGGAUUCCCCCAACAUUCCAGGAUCCCACACUUCCCUGGCAGCUGGAGCUCUCCAUUCCCAGAGUUCUGCAAUCUGGGAACUCCGUGCAGAACCAGGAAUCUUUUUGGUUUUUUAGGGAGUUUUUCCACUCUCAUUCCAGGCUCUCUCUCCCUGCUCCUGCUGUGCCUGCUCCUGCUGAUGGUGAGUGGAAUUUCCAUCCUGCUCCUGAUCAUCCAGGCAGCCCAGAAAAAAGCCAGGAAUGGGCCUGGCAGGAGCACCCAGCCCAAGGAGAGGAGCUGCAGGAUUCCCAUCCAGGAGGAGCAGAUCCAUUCCAACUCCAGCCUCAUCAAAAACUGACCCCACCUGGGGCUGCUCCUGCUCUGCUGAGCCCCUGGCACUAAUUAGGGCUGCUUUUGCUUAAUUGGGAGUUAAUUUCAGGCUGGAUUCACUCUUUGAUUAACUCAGCAUCUCCCUUUGGAAUUCAGGAGAAUUCCUGAGGGAAUUUUGUGUGGAUUUUUUUUUUCUUUUGGGCAAAUCCUUGAGCUCUAAGAUCAGGAUCAAGUGGCAGAGCUGAGCUUUAAAAUCAGGAUCAAGUGUCAAAUCCUUGAGCUCUAAAAUCAGGAUUAAGUGGCAGAGCUGAGCUCUAAAAUCAGGAUCAAGUGGCAAAGCUGAGCUCUAAAAUCAGGAUUAAGGGGCAGAGCUGAGCUCUAAAAUCAGGAUCAAGAGGCAGAGCUGAGCUCUAAAAUCAGGAUCAAGAGGCAAAGCUGAGCUCUAAAAUCAGGAUUAAGUGGUAGAGUUGAGCUCUAAAAUCAGGCUUAAGUAGCAGAGCUGAGCUCUAAAAUCAGGAUCCAGUGGCAGAGCUGAGCUCUAAAAUCAGGAUUAAGUGGCAAAGCUGAGCUCUAAAAUCAGGAUUAAAUCAAACUCAAUCCACACUUCAUGAAAUGAAUUUUCCCUCUCUAAUUGCAUUUCCACAAAUCUGGAAAGGAAAUUUUUUGGGGGGAGCAAAUCCCAAACUCUGCAAUGCCUGCGAGGAGCCCAAAGUGUCCUUUUGCUGAAUUUGAAAUAUUUCCCUGGAAAUUCCAGAAAAAUGGAAUUUUUUAUCAUUCAGGAGUGAUUUUCCCUCCAAAACUCCUCAAAAAAUGGGAAUUGGAAACCCCAGAUCCCAAAAUAUCCCCAAGCAUCCAGCAGGGAAUGGAUGCAGGGAUCCAGGAGGUGUUUAAAUCCAUGGAUUUGGAAGAGUUGGGGUUUUUUAUAUGUUAUACAUAUCCAGAGGGGUUUAUACAAUGUAUAGGAAGGUUUGUAUCGUGUACAAAAUGGCAUUUGGGGGAAUAAAACUCUGGAAAAACAAAUCCUGGUGUGUGUU
rnacentral:lncRNA from 1 species